rnacentral:lncRNA from 1 species
GUCCCCGGCGUCCGGGCGCCCUGCAUGGAUCCCCCACCCCAGCUCCUGCUCCCCGGCGGCGGCCGGUGGGCAGAAAGACCGAAACCCACUCACGGCCGCCUGCCGAAUCGCGGCUCUGCUGUUUGUGGGGCGUGCUAGAAACGUGGUCCUAAAAAGAAUGGCGUCCAUUUACAUAAUGCUUUGUUUGCGUUUCGCAAGUUUCUUUCGGUUAAAGCCACAGAAACCCCACCUCCUGCCCUUGUGUCGUUUCCACCGCGGCACCCUUUUCCGACAUUAGAAACAAUAGUGUACGCCUGUGGAGGCCUCGUUUGUUCAGGGGCUGCCGGCCAGGGCUUCAGGACGUUUCUGCGGCUUUCCCCGCGCGGCCUGGGCUCCCGCGGCUGCUUUUCGGGCCCAUGGGCGCAGCCACUGCGCCAGGCUCAAGGGGGGCGGCCCCGUCAGGGCCCGCCAUCUUGGAAGGCCUUUUUUGCCGGUUCUUCCCGCUGAGGAAGUGUCGCUCAAGACGCUGGCCUAUGAGUUGUGAUUUCUGCCUUUUCCCCUUCCUCCUUGGGCUAAGCCAGACCAGAAAGGGCCCCGUGCGCAACGUGCUUCACAAUCUCUCAGGGAAAGCGGCUAACGUGGCGCUACUCCGCCUCCCCUGUUCCUUACCCUUGGGGCGGCCGCCAUGUUUCCUGAACACAAAAUGGCGACACGUGGUUAGCAUUCGUCGCCAACGAGAAAUUGGGGUCGGCCCGAAAGCUCUAGAAUGCACCCCUCUUCCUCCCCGGGGCCUUCCACCUCCGCGAGUUUUAUGACUUAAAAAAGCCCACAGGCUGGUCUGAAGGUCGGAGGCCUAAUUUUAACGCGUUUUCCUCCCUUUAAUUUGAAACGGGAACGCGAAUGACUGUAAAAUGUGGGCACAAUAUUUAAUCUCUCGCCUUUUUAAAGCUUAAUAGUGGAUAAUAGGGGGGCAGUAUCAAGGGAUAAUUUGGGUCCCCACAGUACCAAAGCAUUUAGAAACCUCUGUUUAAUUUAAGGAAUGAGAUAAGUUACUGCUUUUCUAGACUUCCUAGCAUGGGCUGUUGUGCUGGAGAGAACGAGAGCUACGAAGAGACUACAGUGCCUCUGACUUUUUCAUAGGACAGUUGGCCGAGGAAGACAAACAUAAAGAUGAAGUGCUUAAUUCAAGGUCACACAAUGUCGGGGAUGGACCUCCAGAUUUCCUUACUGGAAAACAAGCUCAGGGCUCCCACUGAUUGUACAUUAUGAGACGGAGUCUUGCUAUGUUGCCCAGGCUGGUCUUGAACUCCUCACCUCAAGCGAUCCUCCCGUCUUGGCCUCCCAAGUGUCAGGAUUACGGGCAUGUGCUAUCACACCCAACCUGAUACAUUGCCUUUAUAAAUUUUUUUUUCUUUAUUCUAAAAACCAGAAAAAACAAAACUGGAUACAUGUGCAGAACAUGCAGACCAAGUGUGUUGGGGACUUGAGAUGCGUACAUGAGUGUGAUGUUUCCUGCUGAAAGCACAGGUGAGACGUGGUCUUGUAACACAGUGGUUAAGAAUGUGACUUUGGAGCCAGCCUGCUAGGGGCUGAAUUCUGACUCAGCCAUUUACUAACUGUGUGACCUUAGUUCCCUGAGCACAUGCUGUUGAGUAAUCCUGCCUGGACCAGUACUUCCCUCACCCUAGACUUCACCUUCAGUUCCCCUUUAUACCACCUGCUGAAGCUGCCAGCCAGCCUUUUCGACCACCCUCCCUCCCCCAGGGGUGUUUGGCUUCUCAGACCCCAGCCUGAGCUAGUGCCCUUGGCUUCCUAGGGUCUUGCCAGGAAAGCAAAGGAGAACAUGCAUACCGCCAAAGAGUACCUAAUAAUAAGAACUCCCAUCCUGAAUUGUGAUUUAUAGUCAGCAUAGCACAUGUGUCAGGUGAUUAUACUUAGGCUGAUUUUAGCCUUAAUAAUCUGCUUCUGUGAUCCUGUAUGUGGGAAGCCUAGAAAUUUCUCUGUGAUCCUCCUUCCUGGAUCACUAAGAGACAAGUCAAGACAUAGGUCCAUUCUACCACCUGUGUUAAUCUGGGCCUUGUUGAGACCAUUUAAAGAAAGGCGUGAUGCUAGAAGUAAGGUCCAGGCCUCCUGCACACUGUUUCAAGGCUGUGACCAUAGUCAGAUCCUGUUGCUUGAGUCCAAAGAGUUUAAAAUAGUGUUGGAAACCUCCUAGGGAAAAAACAAAAAACAAAACACCACAUCUUCCUGGGUAAGGAAGUGACAUGUGCUGACUAGAGCAGGAGGGGUAGCCAAGGCUCCAAGUUCUAUUCUGGACCUGUUGUUGAUUUGAGGUGUGACAUUCAGCAAUCUGAGCUGAUGUUCUGUAGCUCUGAUUGGUUUCUCAUCUUCUGCAGAGAGAGUGAAAGAGGCUGUGCUUGCAGGGGAAAAGGUGAACACUGGUCUCCUGUCCUUUAGGAGAGCUUCACCAUUACACGUCCUGCCUCUCAUUUGAAUUUCCAGGCUUUUUUAGAGUCUCGCUCUAUUGCCCAGAUUGGAGUGCAGUGGUGUGAUCUCGGCUCACUGCAACCUCUGCCUCUGGGUUUAAGCGAUUCUCUCACCUCAGCCUCCCAAGUAGCUGGAAUUAUAGGUGCGUGCCACCAUGCCUGGCUAAUUUUUGUGUUUUUAGUAGAGACAGGGUUUCACCAUGUUGGCCAGGCUAGUCUCGAACUCCUGACCUCAAGUGAUCCACCCACCUCGGCCUCCCAACCAGGCUUUUUUAAAUGCAGAAACCGCCCGCCCCCAGAGUUAAUAUGGAAACCCAGCAAUGUUGUUUAUGUUUUACUUGAAUUCGUUUCAUCAGAAUUGCAUUCCUUUUAACAGUGUGAUUAGAUCAGCUCUUAGAGGGGAUGGCAGCUUCAGUAGGGUUUAGGAAAGGAAAGGAAUAUUUGUGUGGGGCACACACUUUGGCUUUGAUAGCUUGAGGAUACCAGGUACAUGAUAAUUUAGAUGGAUAACAGAAACUUGUGUCCCUUGAGAGCCAGGCAUGUAUUAGAUGCUUUCAUACAUUAUUUAAUUGUAAUACAAACCAAUAAAGUAUUCCCAUUUUUUGCACAUGGGCAAGCUGAAAGUCAAAGAAGUUAUGUAACUUGCCCAAGGUCACACAGCUAAUAAAAAGGCUGAGCUAGGA